GAUGAACGCUAGCGGCGGGCUUAAUACAUGCAAGUCGAGGGGCAGCAUGACUGUAGCAAUACAGUUGAUGGCGACCGGCAAACGGGUGCGGAACACGUACAGAACCUUCCUUCGAGCGGGGAAUAGCCCAGAGAAAUUUGGAUUAAUACCCCAUAGUAUAUUAGAGUGGCAUCACUUUGAUAUUAAAGAUUUAUCACUUGAAGAUGGCUGUGCGGCUGAUUAGGUAGUUGGCGGGGUUACGGCCCACCAAGCCUUCGAUCAGUAACUGGUGUGAGAGCACGACCAGUCACACGGGCACUGAGACACGGGCCCGACUCCUACGGGAGGCAGCAGUAAGGAAUAUUGGUCAAUGGACGAAAGUCUGAACCAGCCAUGCCGCGUGGAGGAUGAAGGUCCUCUGGAUUGUAAACUUCUUUUAUAUGGGACGAAAAAAGGGUUUUCUAACUCGUCUGACGGUACCAUAUGAAUAAGCACCGGCUAACUCCGUGCCAGCAGCCG
rnacentral:rRNA from 1 species